rnacentral:piRNA from 1 species
UGGUGGAUCCAAAUGAAUGUGCUCAUAAAU